rnacentral:rRNA from 1 species
UACGGAGGGUGCAAGCGUUAAUCGGAAUUACUGGGCGUAAAGCGUGCGCAGGCGGUUUUGUAAGUCUGACGUGAAAUCCCCGGGCUUAACCUGGGAAUUGCGUUGGAGACUGCAAGGCUGGAGUCUGGCAGAGGGGGGUAGAAUUCCACGUGUAGCAGUGAGAUGCGUAGAGAUGUGGAGGAACACCGAUGGCGAAGGCAGCCCCUGGGUCAAAACUGACGCUCAUGCACGAAAGCGUGGGGAGCAAACAGG